rnacentral:rRNA from 1 species
GACGAACGCUGGCGGCGUGCUUAACACAUGCAAGUCGAACGGAAAGGCCCUGCUUUUGUGGGGUGCUCGAGUGGCGAACGGGUGAGUAACACGUGAGUAACCUGCCCUUGACUUUGGGAUAACUUCAGGAAACUGGGGCUAAUACCGGAUAGGAGCUCUUGCUGCAUGGUGGGGGUUGGAAAGUUUCGGCGGUUGGGGAUGGACUCGCGGCUUAUCAGCUUGUUGGUGGGGUAGUGGAUUACAAAGGCUUUGACGGGUAGCCGGCCUGGGAGGGUGACCGGCGACAUUGGGACUGAGAUACGGCCCAGACGCCUACGGGAGGCAGCAGUGGGGAAUAUUGCACAAUGGGCGGAAGCCUGAUGCAGCAACGCCGCGUGCGGGAUGACGGCCUUCGGGUUGUAAACCGCUUUCGCCUGUGACGAAGCGUGAGUGACGGUAAUGGGUAAAGAAGCACCGGCUAACUACGUG